rnacentral:lncRNA from 1 species
GUCACGGUCCACAACCAAGAAGAGACAAGGGAAGGGGCCAGAUGAAUGUUCUGCCACCAAGAGGAAGACUUUGACAUUUAAAAAAUUCUCCAUCUCUCUCCAAGUGUCCCAUCCCCAACUCAGAAAUAAUAAUAAUGGUAAUAAUAAUAACUUUAUUAUUGUCAUUGAGAGCUCAUUGCGUGACAGGCGCUACGCUAAGCACUUUACAUACGUUAUGUAUCAAAUCCUCAGAAAAAUCCAUGAAGAGGACAUUAAUAUGUUGCAGAUGAAGACACUGAGGCUUGGAGAACUUAAAUUGCCCAAAGAGCUUCUCACACCUGGAAAAGGAAGAAGGACCUAGCAGAGAUGUGUACAAGCAG